UACGGAGGUGGCAAGCGUUGCUCGGAAUCACUGGGCGUAAAGGGCGCGUAGGCGGGGAGGUAAGUCGGGUGUGAAAUCCCUCGGCCCAACCGAGGAACUGCGCCCGAGACUGCUUCUCUUGAGUCCCGGAGAGGAAGAUGGAAUUCCCGGUGUAGCGGUGAAAUGCGCAGAUAUCAGGAGGAACACCGGUGGCGAAGGCGGAUCUCUGGGCCAUUACUGACGCUGAGGAGCGAAAGCGUGGGGAGCGAACAGG
rnacentral:rRNA from 1 species